GAUGAACGCUGGCGGCGUGCCUAAUACAUGCAAGUCGAGCGAACAGAUGAGGAGCUUGCUCCUCUGACGUUAGCGGCGGACGGGUGAGUAACACGUGGAUAACCUACCUAUAAGACUGGGAUAACUUCGGGAAACCGGAGCUAAUACCGGAUAAUAUAUUGAACCGCAUGGUUCAAUAGUGAAAUACGGUUUUGCUGUCACUUAUAGAUGGAUCCGCGCCGCAUUAGCUAGUUGGUAAGGUAACGGCUUACCAAGGCAACGAUGCGUAGCCGACCUGAGAGGGUGAUCGGCCACACUGGAACUGAGACACGGUCCAGACUCCUACGGGAGGCAGCAGUAGGGAAUAUUCCGCAAUGGGCGAAAGCCUGACGGAGCAACGCCGCGUGAGUGAUGAAGGUCUUCGGAUCGUAAAACUCUGUUAUUAGGGAAGAACAAAUGUGUAAGUAACUAUGCACGUCUUGACGGUACCUAAUCAGAAAGCCACGGCUAACUACGUG
rnacentral:rRNA from 1 species